GCCCUGUUCCGCGGGUGCCGGGGCUGUGCCGAGCGCAGGUGCGUGGAGUCAGGAAUCCACCGACACGGAGCUCGCUGCACGGGACG
rnacentral:miRNA from 1 species